GACGAACGCUGGCGGCGUGCUUAACACAUGCAAGUCGAACGGAAAGGCCCUGCUUUUGUGGGGUGCUCGAGUGGCGAACGGGUGCGUAACACGUGAGUAACCUGCCCUUGACUUUGGUGUAACUUCAGGUAACUGGGCCUAAUACCGUAUCGGAGCUCCUGCUGCAUUGUGGGGGUUGGAAAGUUUCGGCGGGUGGGGAUGGACGCGCGGCUUAUCAGCUUGUUGGUUGGGGAGUGGCUUACCAAGGCUUUGACGGAUAGCCGGCAUGAGAGGGUGACCGGCGACAAUGGGACUGAGAUACGGCCCAGACUCCUACGGGAGGCAGCAGUGGGGAAUAUUGCACAAUGGGCGGAAGCGUGAGGAAGAAACGCCGCGUGCGGGAUGACGGCCUUCGGGUUGUAAACCGCUUUAGCCUGUGACGAAGCGGGAGUGACGGUAAUGGGUAAAGAAGCACCGGCUAACUACGUG
rnacentral:rRNA from 1 species